rnacentral:rRNA from 1 species
UACAAAGGUGGCAAGCGUUGUUCGGAAUUACUGGGCGUAAAGGGCGCGUAGGCGGCCCACUAAGUCAGACGUGAAAUCCCCCGGCUUAACCUGGGAACUGCGUCUGAUACUGGAGGGCUUGAGUAUGGGAGAGGGAUGUAGAAUUCCAGGUGUAGCGGUGAAAUGCGUAGAUAUCUGGAGGAAUACCGGUGGCGAAGGCGGCAUCCUGGACCAUUACUGACGCUGAGGCGCGAAAGCUAGGGGAGCAAACGGG